GAGGGUGGGGGGAGGACGCGCGGACCGACAGACGGACGGACCGACGGGCAGGCAUGCGGGCGGCUCGACUCUAGACUCCGGCCGCAGCCAUGGAGAGGCGGUUGCGCGCGUUGGAGCGGCUGGCGCGGGGCGAGGCCGGCGGCGGCCCGGGGCUCGACGGCCUCCUGGAUCUGCUUCUGGGGCUGCACCAAGAGCUCAGCAGCGCCCCCCUGCGGCGGGAGCGCAACGUGGCGCAGUUCCUGAGCUGGGUCAGUCCCUUCAUAGCAAAGGUGAAAGAGCUGCAGCUGCAGAGAGAUGACUUUGAGAUCUUGAAGGUGAUCGGCCGAGGGGCCUUCGGGGAGGUCGCUGUGGUGAGGCAGAGGGACAGUGGCCAGAUUUUUGCCAUGAAAAUGCUGCACAAGUGGGAGAUGCUGAAGAGGGCCGAGACGGCCUGUUUCCGGGAGGAGCGGGACGUUCUGGUGAAGGGGGACAGCCGCUGGGUGACCGCUCUGCAUUACGCCUUCCAGGAUGAGGAGUACCUGUACCUGGUGAUGGACUACUAUGCUGGGGGGGACCUCCUCACUCUGCUGAGCCGCUUUGAGGACCGUCUCCCGCCUGAGCUGGCCCAGUUCUACCUGGCCGAGAUGGUGCUGGCCAUCCACUCGCUGCAUCAGCUGGGCUACGUCCACAGGGACGUCAAGCCAGACAAUGUCCUGCUGGACAUGAAUGGGCACAUCCGCUUGGCCGACUUUGGCUCCUGCCUACGGCUCAACAACAGUGGCAUGGUGGAUUCGUCGGUGGCAGUGGGGACGCCCGACUACAUCUCCCCUGAGAUCCUGCAGGCCAUGGAGGAGGGCAGGGGCCACUACGGCCCACAGUGUGACUGGUGGUCCCUGGGGGUCUGUGCCUACGAGCUGCUCUUUGGGGAGACGCCCUUCUACGCGGAAUCCCUGGUGGAAACCUACGGCAAGAUCAUGAACCAUGAGGACCACCUGCAGUUCCCCCCAGAUGUGCCCGAUGUGCCGGCCAGUGCCCAAGACCUGAUCCGCCAGCUGCUGUGCCGCCAGGAGGAGCGUCUGGGCCACGGAGGGCUGGACGACUUCCGGAACCACCCCUUCUUCGAAGGCAUAGACUGGGAGCGGCUGGCGACUAGCACUGCCCCCUACAUCCCCGAGCUUCGCGGGCCCAUGGACACCUCCAACUUCGACGUGGAUGACGACACCCUCAACCAUCCGGGGACCCUGCCGCCACCCUCCCACGGGACCUUCUUAGGCCACCACCUGCCAUUUGUGGGUUUCACCUACACCUCAGGCAGUCUGGGCCCUGAGAGCACUUCUGAGCCGUUGGCUGCCCUGGAGCGGAAGCUCCGCUGUUUGGAGCAGGAGAAGGUGGAGCUGAGCCGGAAGCUCCAAGAGGCUCUGCCGACCCCCUCAGACCCUCGGGAACUGGAGCAGCUACGGAAGGAAGUGCAGACUCUGCAGGACAGGCUGUCAGAGACGCUGAGGGACAGCAAGGUGGACGGACGCCCGGCUGGUAGCCCAGGCCAGGACAGUGACGUGCAGCAGGAGAGAGACCAGCUCCUCCAGGAGCUGGUCGAGGUGCGGGCGGGGCUGCGGGCGCAGGAGCAGGAGCUGUGCAGGGCCCAGGGGUGGCAGGAGGAGCUGCUCCGGAAGCUGCAGGAGGCCCAGGAGAGAGAGGUGGCCAUGGCCAGCGAGACCCAGGCCCUGAGCUCCCAGCUGGAGGAAGCCUGGGAUGCCCAGAGGGAGCUGCAGGCCCAGGUGGCCGCCCUGAGCCAGGAGGUGAUGCAGCUGCAGAGACGGCAGGAGCGAAGCCUGGAGAAGGAGCCUCCCCAGAUCAAGACCAUCCACACUGCCUCUGAGACCAACGGCACAGGAUUGCCUGAGGGCAGCAGGCCUCAGGAAGCACAGCUGAGGCAGGAGGUGGCUGCCCUGCAUGUGCAGCUGGAGCAGGCCCGCGGCCACGGGCCGCGUGGGAAGGAGGAGGCUCUGUGCCGGCUGCAGGAGGAGAACCAGCAGCUGAGCCGGGAGCAGCAGCGGCUGGUGGAGGAGCUGGAACGGGAGCAGCAGAGCAAGCAGAGACUGGAGGGCGCGCAGCAGGAGACGGAGAGCAACUGGGAGGCCCAGAUUGCCGACAUCCUCAGCUGGGUGAAUGAUGAGAAGGUGUCAAGAGGCUACCUGCAGGCGCUGGCCACCAAGAUGGCCGAGGAGCUGGAGUCCUUGCGGAACGUGGGCACCCAGACUCUCCCUGCCCGGCCGCUGGAUCACCAGUGGAAGGCACGGCGGCUGCAGAAGAUGGAGGCGUCGGCCAGGCUGGAGCUGCAGUCAGCACUGGAGGCCGAGAUACGGGCCAAGCAGGGCCUGCAGGAGCGGCUGACGCAGGUGCAGGAGGCCCAGCUGCGGGCUGAGAGCCGUCUGCAGGAGGUCGAGAGGCACAACCAGGGCCUGCAGCAGGAGCUGGCUACCCUCCGGGAGGAGCUGCGGGCCCAUGGGCCGGGGGACACCAAGCCCUCAAACUCCCUGAUUCCCUUCCUGUCCUUCCGGAGCUCAGAGAAGGAUUCCACCAAGGACCCCGGUGUCUCAGGAGAGGCCCUGAAGCCUGGGCUGGAGCCCGAGCUGAGGCCAGAGGGCCGCCGCAGCCUGCGCCUGGGGGGUGUGUUCCCCAGAACGCCUGCUGCUACCACACCCCCUGCAGAAGGUCCUCCUGCAAAGCCUGGCUCACACACGCUGCGCCCCCGGAGCUUCCCAUCCCCCACCAAGUGUCUCCGCUGCACCUCGCUGAUGCUGGGCCUGGGCCGCCAGGGCCUGGGCUGUGACGCUUGCGGCUACUUCUGUCACUCGACUUGUGCCCCACAGGCCCCACCCUGCCCCGUGCCCCCUGACCUCCUCCACACGGCCCUGGGAGUGCACCCUGAAACGGGCACGGGCACCGCCUACGAGGGCUUCUUGUCGGUGCCACGGCCCUCGGGCGUCCGGCGGGGCUGGCAGCGAGUGUUUGCCGCCCUCAGUGACUCGCGCCUGCUGCUGUUUGAUGCCCCAGACCCGAGGCUCAGCCCGGCCAGCGGGGCCCUCCUGCAGGCACUGGAUCUGAGGGACCCCCAGUUCUCGGCCACGCCUGUCCUGGCCUUGGAUGUUAUCCACGCCCAAUCCAGGGACCUGCCCCGCAUCUUUAGGGUGACGGCCUCCCAGCUGACGGUGCCGCCCGCCACGUGCACCGUGCUGCUGUUGGCGGAGAGCGAGGGUGAGCGGGAACGCUGGCUGCAGGUGCUGCGCGAGCUGCAGCAGCUGCUGCUGGACGCACGGCCCAGGCCCCGGCCGGUGUACACGCUCAAGGAGGCCUACGACAACGGGCUGCCGCUGCUGUCCCACGCGCUCUGUGCCGCCAUCAUCGACCAGAAACGGCUUGCUCUGGGCACUGAGGAGGGACUGUUUGUGAUCCACCUGCACAGCAACGACAUCUUCCAGGUGGGUGAGUGCCGGCGGGUGCAGCGGCUGGCCGUGAGCCCCACCGCGGGCCUUCUGGUCGUGCUGUGCGGCCGCGGCCCCAGCGUGCGCCUCUUUGCCCUGGCCGAGCUGGAGAACAUGGAGGCAUCAGGAGCCAAGAUCCCCGAGUCCCGAGGCUGCCAGGUCCUGGCAGCCGGGCGCAUCCUGCAGGCCCGCACCCCCGUGCUCUGUGUCGCAGUCAAGCGCCAGGUGCUCUGCUACCAACUGGGUCCAGGCCCGGGGCCCUGGCAGCGCCGCAUCCGCGAGCUGCAGGCACCAGCACCUGUGCAGAGCCUGGGGCUGCUGGGUGACCGGCUGUGCGUGGGCGCAGCUGGCGCCUUCACCCUCUACCCGCUGCUCAACGAGGCUGCGCCCUUAGCGCUGGGAGCCGGUCUGGUGCCUGAGGAGCUGCCCCCAUCCCGCGGGGGCCUGGGUGAGGCCCUGGGCGCCGUGGAGCUCAGUCUCAGUGAGUUCCUGCUGCUCUUCACCACCGCCGGGGUCUAUGUGGACAGCGCCGGCCGCAAGUCUCGCAUCCAAGAGCUGCUGUGGCCAGCAGUGCCCACGGGUUGGGGUUACGCAGCCCCCUACCUGACAGUGCUGAGCGAGAACGCCAUCGAUGUGUUUGAUGUGAGGAAAGCAGAAUGGGUCCAGACGGUGCCACUCAAGAAGGUGCGACCCCUGAACCCAGAGGGCUCCCUGUUCCUCUUUGGCACCGAGAAGGUCCGCCUGACCUACCUCAGGAACCUGCUGGCAGAUAAGGACGAGUUCGACAUCCCCAACCUCACCGACAACAGCCGGCGCCAGCUGUUCCGCACCAAGAGCAAGCGCCGCUUCUUCUUCCGCGUGUCGGAGGAGCAGCUGCAGCAGCAGCGCAGGGAGAUGCUGAAGGACCCUUUUGUGCGCUCCAAGCUCAUCUCAACCCCCACCAACUUCAACCACCUGGUGCACGUGGGCCCUGCAGACGGAAGGCCCAGCGCCAGGGACCUGCCCCCGGCUCCGGAAGAGAAGGGCCAAGGUGCCCGCAGCUCUGGCCUGCAGCGGCCCCACAGCUUCUCUGAGGCCCCGCGGCGCCCAGCUUCCAUGGUCAGUGACGGCCUCGCUGGAGACGCGGACCACACAGUGAAGAGGAAGCCUUGGACGUCUCUGUCCAGCGAGUCGGUGUCCUGCCCCCAGGGAUCUCUGAGCCCCGUGGCCUCCCUGAUACAGGUGAGCCAGUGGGGGCUCUCCCUUUCCCCGUUGAAAGGCAGGCAUUUCUGUUUCGUGCUGGGACCUGAGGCCAGAGAACAAGCUGAGCCCAUCCCUGCCUUGGAUGCUAAGAGAUGCUGACUCUCCCCUGUCUCGCCCCUUAGUGGGUCCCAGCAGGGGCCUGGAGGUAGGUCAGCCGAGGUCUGACUGUCUUGGCUCUGACUGUACCAGCAGUGUGGCCCUGGGCGAGGUGCCCAGCCUCCCUGAGCUUGCCUCGCCUGUAAAAUGAGGUUAUUGUUAUGAGACCUGUAGGAGGUACCUGGCACAAGGGGAGAGCACCACAGCAGGGGAGCUCUUGGAUUUUUUUUUUUUGGCCACGCCACUUGGCUUGCGGGAUCUUAGUUCCCCGGCCAGAGAUUGAACCCAGGCCCUCAGCAGUGAGAGUGCAGAGUCCUAGCCGCUGGACUGCUAGGGAUUUCCCGCUCUAGGAACUCCUGUGGGCGAGAGGUCAGAGGAGGGAGCAGUCCACUCUGGCUGCGGACCAGGAAGAUCUAAGGACUUAGGAAGGCUCCCACUCCCCCUCCAGCCACGUCUCCAACUGCCACCCCCACUGCAGCUGCACCAAGCCACUCAGAGCCCUGGGACCACCAUGUUCUUUCACACCUCCAAGCCCUCACCCCUGCUGUCUCCCCUGCUUCUCUUGAAAUACCCUUUCCCGUCAUCCACCUGAUUAAGGGCCAGGCCAUCUUCAAGGCUCUGCACCACUGUCAUCUUCUCCAGAGACCACUUGGCUGCCUGGUCACGUGGUCACUGCCGCCCUCCUCCCUCCACCUCCUAACUGUUGAUCCUGCUGUGCUGUGAUUUUCAUCUGGGUUCCUUGAUUGUGGGGGUCAAGUUUGUCUUCUGCUUGGAGUAAAGCCUAUUCGUUGAUUGAAUGUAGAAUGGAGUGAAUGAACAAAGGGGCUUUGGUUUGGGCUCCAGAGUUCAGUAGGAUUUCCUCAGGCUCUUCUCACGUACCCCUACCCCACCUCUCAUCUGACCUCCUCCGAUGGCCCUGCUGCAGCAAGGGAUGUGUCCUGGGGAAGCCUCUGGGAGGCACUGACCUGGUCUCAGAACGGCCCCGGAGCCUCCCCCUGGCCCCUGAAUCUGAGAGCUCCCCUUGACACCCUCCGGCGGGGCCCAACCCCCAAUCCCAGGACCGAAAGAUGCGAGAGAGCAAAGAGCUUGAGGAACGCCAUAUUCCGGCCGGUCCGGAACGUGUGGAAAUUCGGACUCGGCAGGCCUGGCCUGGGCAGCCAUGGCCUGGGUUGCUAGGACAGGGCCGGGGCGGGAUCUGACUCCCAGCCCUCAUCCCGCCCUUCACUCUGCUCCCAGCCCCAGCCUGUGCUAGCCAUGGGGGAUAGGAUGGCCCCCUUCUGCCCUGGGGGCCCCUCUGCGCCAGUGUCCAGGGGUGAUUUUGCCAAAGCUGUCACUUCCAGGGCCAGGCCCCCGGAGUCUUGUGAUCAAGAGUCCAGGAGAGGGACAGAGAGGGGCCGGGUUCCUGGGAGCAGUCUGGGGUCGUGGCUGUGGACUGUCUAGCCCCCAAGGAGGUUGAGUUGGGGCAUAUCCCAGUCUCUGCUCAGGGUCAGGGCAGGAAAGACAGGCUCUAAUCCAGAGGAAGAGGUAGAGAAGGAGGGAGAGGAUGUUGGUGAAGGAGGUGAGAGAGGCAAGGGGGAGGAAAGGAAGUGCAAGAGGAGGGGAGAGUGAUUGGAAGGAGGUGAAAGCCAUCCAGAGGAGAAGGACAGAAGGAUAAAGGAGGAGCGAUGGAGAAGAGAGAGGCCAGAGGAGGGGGUGGAGGGAGAGGGAGCUAGGAGAGCACAGGCACAGGCGCCUUCUGUCUGGGGGGAGUCGGUGGGGGUGGGAAGAGGGAGGGGCUCUGAGAGCCAACUGACAUUGUCAUCUAAUUUGUCCAGGAGGAAGAUAACUCCGAGCCAGGGAUGGGAUGGGGGGGUAUUUAUAAGGGCUGCUUGGUGGGAGAUGGGCACCCUACGGGUUUCCAGGCACACUCUGGCCCUUCGCAGAAAGGCGGGGGGUCAUUUUUCUCAAAGCUUCAACCACCUGUGUAUUAGGGGAUCAUAGGGGCAUUUUAUUAUUGAUCACAGUCAUUAUUAUUGUUAUUAUAUUACUAUUUUUAUUAAACCUCCCCCUACUGAUGAGUAGGGAGCAAAAUAAAUAUUUAUCUCCUCAAAUGCCAUAUUCCCGGGAGGGAUAGACCCUGACACUCUGUGAGGCAGUAAGAAACCAAUAAAGACAACUUUGUAAGCUG